AGCUUCAAAAAACGCUAAUGGAGGAUGAGAGGAAGAAGCUUGUACGAUGAAGAAGGAGACAUGUGGGUCAGGAGAAAUCUGAUUGGUUAAGGUUGUUUUGUGGGCCAUAUAGGUUGUUGAAUUAUGGUUGGUUUAUUUAAUUGGAGAAUAAAUGAAAGGCUAGUUUGGGGAGUGCAAGGAUAAAAGGGUAGGAAGAAUAGAGAAGGGGCAGUAAGAAUUCAUUUAAGGGGGUAUGGGGCAUAUGGAGUUAAUCUCCUAAAUGAAGAAAACUGUUCACUCAAAAACCCUAAUUUAAACACAUAAAGUAAUGAAUUAAGUCAUAUUUGUCUACUAGGUAUAUACCUAUGCUUUGAGUUUGGAAAUUAUAAAAUGAAUUAAUGGGCUUUAUUGGGUCUAAAGGGGCUUUACAUUUUUAACAGGAGGAGGAGGGAGGACCGUCCGAUUGAAAAUACUUAAGAGGACGAAGACAAAUCGUGACCGUCCGAUUGAACAUAUAUCCGUUACGGUUUAAAGAUCCAACAAUACACAUACCAAAGGGAUUUUUAAGGUUUUCUCCCCAAAUGUCUUGGACGACGACGACUCAUACAACAGGUUUCUUUCCCGACUCCACAUGAAACCAACCACCGUCGUCGAGGCACGUCUUUGUCUACAACAAAUCUUUGCGGGCUACUUGAUGUAAAGCGAACAAAGUAGAUCAACAAUGGGUUCCAUUACAUGAUCCACAGCUCCGAACAGAGUCACUGAAGCUCUACUAUCGCCUGAAAUCAGUGUUGUGCUAGAUUCUUAUUUGGGGACAUUGUCCCGUCGGUUGGUAGUGCAUGCGAUGCGAUGUUUGGGGAUGAAACCCACGGCUUAUUAAGAAAAUGACCAGCGGCUUAAAAAAAAUAAGGCAAAGACUCUUGUGACCAAGUCUUUAAGCAAAAGGUUACAGAUAUGUUCAUGUUGGAUGGAUAAAACGAACAACAAUGAACAACAACAUGUCUUUAGACAAAAGGCCAUGAGAUUGUUGGAAUGGAAAAAAGCGAUAAAAAAAGGGCUUAAAAAGAGGUCUUUGAUGAGACAAUGAUUGUGAUACCCACGGCUUAGAAAAAUUCAUAAGACAAUGUCUGAAUUGGUCUUAUUUGUCCCGUCGGUUGGUAGUGCAUGCGUUUGGGGAUGGAUAGUACCCACGGCUUAUUACGAAAGCGACCAACAACUUGAAAAUAAAGACUGUAAAUUUGUUGGAUGGACUAAACGACCUACGGUUUACAAUAAAGUCUCUGUAAACAAA